rnacentral:rRNA from 1 species
CAGCAGCCGCGGUAAUACGAAGGGUGCAAGCGUUACUCGGAAUUACUGGGCGUAAAGCGUGCGUAGGCGGUUCGUUAAGUCUGUUGUGAAAGCCCCGGGCUCAACCUGGGAAUGGCAAUGGAUACUGGCGAGCUAGAGUGUGUCAGAGGAUGGUGGAAUUCCCGGUGUAGCGGUGAAAUGCGUAGAGAUCGGGAGGAACAUCAGUGGCGAAGGCGGCCAUCUGGGACAACACUGACGCUGAGGCACGAAAGCGUGGGGAGCAAACAGGAUUAGAUACCCCCGUAGUCCCUGUCUCUUAUAC